GGCUGUGAUGGCCUGUGGCAGAAGCGCACUGAUCGUUGAAUUUCGAAUCUUGAACAAAUCGAGGUCCGUUUCGAUCCUCGCGGUACGUCCUUAGUCGGUUCGAGUAAUCAGCCUCGCUAGGACGGGCAAUGAGUAACAAUACCCUGGAGGGAAGCAAUUCAGCACAGACUGUUACCCGUGAGUAGGCGAAUACGGAUGGCCUCGAGUUAGAUCGGGUCGGAGUUCACUGGUGUGACAACUCAAAGAUAAUU
rnacentral:SRP_RNA from 1 species